rnacentral:rRNA from 1 species
GGAAGGUUGACUGGAGCUAUCAGAAGUGCGAAUGCUGACGUGAGUAACGAUAAUAUAUGUGAAAAACAUAUACGCCGAAAGACCAAGGGUUUCUGUCCAACGUUAAUCGGGGCAGAGUGAGUCGGUACCUAAUGUAAGGCUGAAAAGCGUAGCAGAUGGAUAUUCGGUUAAUAUUCCGAAACUAGGCAUUGAUUGUGAGGAAGGACGGAGAAGGCUAGUGCUGCUUACUGUUGGAAUAGUAAGUGGAAGGCGGUAGUUCCGGUGUGUACGAAGAAAAGGCACGCUGAAGGACGAGAGCCGAGAGGAUUACACUACGGUGUAAGAAGAGCAUGAUGCCAGGCUUCCAGGAAAAGUUCCGUACACGUUAAUUAAUGCUGGCCGUACCCGAAACCGACACAGGUGGUCGGGUAGAGAAUACCAAGGCGCUUGAGAGAACUCGGGUGAAGGAACUAGGCAAAAUAGUACCGUAACUUAGGGAGAAGGUAUGCUGAGGAGAUUGAGCAUCCGCGCGAUGUAAGGUUGAAUCAGUGACAGCAAAGAGGUGGCUGGGACUGUUUAACAAAAACACAGCACACUGCGAACACGGAAGUGGAAGUAUAGUGUGUGACACCUGCCCGGUGCCGGAAGGUUAAAUGAUGAAGUCAUCGCAAGAGAAGCUUCUGAUUGAAGCCCCGGUAAACGGCGGCCGUAACUAUAACGGUCCUAAGGUAGCGAAAUUCCUUGUCGGGCAAGUUCCGACCUGCACGAAUGGUGUAACCAUGGCCACGCUGUCUCCACCCGAGACUCAGUGAAAUCGAAAUCGCUGUGAAGAUGCAGUGUACCCGCGGCUAGACGGAAAGACCCCGUGAACCUUUACUAUAGCUUGACACUGAACAUUGAGUCUGUCUGUGUAGGAUAGAUGGGAGACAGAGAAGCGAGUACGCCAGUAUUCGUGGAGUCGGCCGGUGAAAUACCAUUCUGGGAGACUUGGUGUUCUAACCAAAUAUUAACAGAUAAUGGGACAGUGUCUGGUGGGUAGUUUGACUGGGGCGGUCUCCUCCUAAAGGGUAACGGAGGAGCACGAAGGUUGGCUAAUCACGGUCGGACAUCGUGAGGUUAGUGUAAUGGUA